ensembl:snRNA U6 U6 spliceosomal RNA
GUGUUCACUUCAGCAGUUCAUACACCAAAAGUGGAACAAUACAGAAAAGAUUAGCAUGGCCCCUGCACAAAGAUGACACGCAAAUUCAUGAAGCAGUCCAUAUUUUU